GUGAACGCUGGCGGUAGGCCUAACACAUGCAAGUCGAACGGCAGCACAGUAAGAGCUUGCUCUUACGGGUGGCGAGUGGCGGACGGGUGAGGAAUACAUCGGAAUCUACUUUUUCGUGGGGGAUAACGUAGGGAAACUUACGCUAAUACCGCAUACGUCCUACGGGUGAAAGCAGGGGAUCUUCGGACCUUGCGCGAUUGAAUGAGCCGAUGUCGGAUUAGCUAGUUGGCGGGGUAAAGGCCCACCAAGGCGACGAUCCGUAGCUGGUCUGGGAGGAUGAUCAGCCACACUGGAACUGAGACACGGUCCAGACUCCUACGGGAGGCAGCAGUGGGGAAUAUUGGACAAUGGGCGCAAGCCUGGUCCAGCCAUACCGCGUGGGUGAAGAAGGCCUUCGGGUUGUAAAGCCCUUUUGUUGGGAAAGAAAAGCAGCAGGUUAAUACCCCGCUGUUCUGACGGUACCCAAAGAAUAAGCACCGGCUAACUUCGUG
rnacentral:rRNA from 1 species